rnacentral:rRNA from 1 species
AGCGUGGAGACAGGUGGUGCAUGGCUGUCGUCAGCUCGUGUCGUGAGAUGUUGGGUUAAGUCCCGCAACGAGCGCAACCCUCACCCCUUGUUGCCAUCAGGUCAUGCUGGGCACUCUAGGGGAACUGCCCCGGUCAACGGGGAGGAAGGCGGGGAUGACGUCAAGUCAUCAUGCCCCUUACGUCCUGGGCUACACACGUGCUACAAUGGCCGGUACAAAGGGAUGCAACACCGCGAGGUAGAGCUAAACCCAAAAAGCCGGUCUAAGUUCAGAUUGGAGUCUGCAACUCGACUCCAUGAAGGAGGAAUCGCUAGUAAUCGCGUAUCAGCACGACGCAGUGAAUACGUUCCCGGGCCUUGUACACACCGCCCGUCACACCACGAAAGCCAGCUGUACUCGAAGUCGCUGAG